AGCGAACGCUGGCGGCAGGCCUAACACAUGCAAGUCGAGCGCCCCGCAAGGGGAGCGGCAGACGGGAGAGUAACACGUGGGAACGUGCCCUUUGGUUCGGAACAACCCAGGGAAACUUGGGCUGAUCCCGGAUAAGCCCUCACGGGGAAAGAUUUAUCGCGGAAGGAUCGGCCCGAGUCUGAUUAGCUAGUUGGUGAGGUAAUGGCCCACCAAGGAGACGAUCAGUAGCUGGUCCGAGAGGAUGAUCAGCCUCACUGGGACUGAGACACGGCCCAGACUCCUACGGGAGGCAGCGGUGGGGAAUAUUGGACAAUGGGCGCAAGCCUGAUCCAGCCAUGCCGCGUGGGUGAUGAAGGCCUUAGGGUUGUAAAGCUCUUUCACCGGAGAAGAUAAUGACGGUAUCCGGAGAAGAAGCCCCGGCUAACUUCGUGCCAGCCGCCGCGGUAA
rnacentral:rRNA from 1 species